UACGUAGGUGGCAAGCGUUGUCCGGAUUUAUUGGGUUUAAAGGGUGCGUAGGCGGCCUAUUAAGUCAGUGGUGAAAUAUUUCAGCUCAACUGGAAUUGUGCCAUUGAUACUGAUGGGCUUGAGUACAGAUGAGGUAGGCGGAAUUGACGGUGUAGCGGUGAAAUGCUUAGAUAUCUGGAGGAACACCGGUGGCGAAGGCGGCAUCCUGGACCAAUAUUGACGCUGAGGAGCGAAAGCCAGGGGAGCAAACGGG
rnacentral:rRNA from 1 species